rnacentral:rRNA from 1 species
UACGUAGGGGGCAAGCGUUGUCCGGAUUUAUUGGGCGUAAAGAGCGUGUAGGCGGCCUGAAAGGUCAGCUGUGAAAACUCGAGGCUCAACCUCGAGACGUCGGUUGAAACCAUCUGGCUAGAGUCCGGAAGAGGAGAGUGGAAUUCCCGGUGUAGCGGUGAAAUGCGCAGAUAUCGGGAAGAACACCCGUGGCGAAGGCGGCUCUCUGGGACGGUACUGACGCUGAGACGCGGAAAGCGUGGGGAGCGAACGAGGA